rnacentral:lncRNA from 1 species
GGCAAGUCCAGUGAGCCUUCCUUCCCUGGCAGGGGCUGGAAAGAUGCACCAGUGCUAUAAACAACAGAAAGUUAAGGGAUGACUUCAGUGCAUUGACACUCACAGCAGAGAAAACAAGAUGGAACGGCUAUCUGAUCCAACAAUUGUCUGGAGUACUGCACUGAAUUGAAGCUCACAGCUCUGUCUUUUUAAAAGGAAAAAAUAAUACAAAAACCUGCUAGUCCCUGACUGACCACAGAAGAUAAUUCCUUCAUACCAGUUUUGAUAAUAAACUAUGAAAAUUAACUUCUGAAUACCA